rnacentral:rRNA from 1 species
AUGCAUGCCUCGCCGGCCUGUCGUUGGCUCGUCGUCGCCCACUCCCUCCUCACCUCAGCCCCUAGCGAAAAUAGCCAAGCGCUCUGGCUGACUGACCGGCCGACGUGGCCGGCCCAAUCCUGGCCCACCACCUGGCGCCCCUCCCCGGCGGAAUCUCCCGUGUUCACACUCCCGAAUUACCCAAACACCCUCCUCCACCGGCGACCACACGAGGGCAGAACCGUCCCUCGCAACUUCCAAGCACGCCCGUGCGACCCGUCCGCCCUCGUGGCCGCACGAUCCCCAGAUCCAGCGGCCGCGGUCGCUCUACCAGAAGCUUCCGGCCCGGUGUAUAUAAGCGCGAGAGGGCCAGUGGCCUCCAUCGUCUUCACCCCCGCUCCUCCUCCCCCACCCCACACACACCGCACGCGUUUGACAUUUUCCGCCCACCACCACCGGAGGGAGCGAGCUCCAGCCAUGGCCGCCAAGUGCUACCCGACGGUCAGCGACGAGUACCUGGCGGCGGUCGCCAAGGCCAAGCGCAAGCUCCGCGGCUUCAUCGCCGAGAAGAACUGCGCGCCCCUCAUGCUCCGCCUCGCGUGGCACUCGGCCGGGACCUUCGACGUGGCCACCAAGACCGGCGGCCCCUUCGGCACCAUGAAGUGCCCCGCGGAGCUCGCGCACGGCGCCAACGCCGGCCUCGACAUCGCCGUCAGGCUGCUCGAGCCCAUCAAGGAGCAGUUCCCCAUCCUCUCCUACGCCGACUUCUACCAGCUCGCUGGAGUCGUCGCCGUCGAGGUGACCGGCGGGCCUGAGGUCCCCUUCCACCCGGGGAGACAGGACAAGCCCGAGCCUCCUCCAGAAGGCCGUCUUCCUGAUGCUACCCAAGGCUCUGACCACCUCAGGCAGGUGUUUUCCACUCAGAUGGGUUUGAGUGACCAGGACAUUGUUGCUCUUUCUGGUGGUCACACCCUGGGAAGAUGCCACAAGGAGAGGUCCGGCUUUGAGGGAGCCUGGACUGCCAACCCUUUGAUCUUCGACAACUCUUACUUCACUGAGCUCCUUUGUGGGGAGAAGGAAGGCCUUCUUCAGUUGCCGACCGACAAGACCCUCCUGACUGACCCGGCCUUCCGCCCACUUGUGGACAAAUAUGCUGCGGAUGAGGAUGCUUUCUUUGCUGACUACGCUGAGGCACACCUCAAGCUAUCCGAAUUGGGAUUUGGCGAGGCUGUUGAGGGCUGCUGCUGA